CAUUUGUUCUCUAAAUAAGGACUUGUAUGAAUGGCCACACGAGGGUUUUACUGUCUCUUACUUCCAAUCAGUGAAAUUGACCUUCCCGUGAAGAGGCGGGAAUAAACAAAUAAGACGAGAAGACCCUAUGGAGCUUUAACUAAUUAGUCCAGAGAAAAUAAAUUCUAACCACCAAGGGACAGCAAUAUCCUCCAUGGACUAACAGCUUUGGUUGGGGUGACCUCGGAGAAUAAAAAAUCCUCCGAGCGAUUUUAAAGACUAGACCCACAAGUCAAAUCAAAUUAUCGCUUAUUGAUCCAAAAACUUGAUCAACGGAACAAGUUACCCUAGGGAUAACAGCGCA
rnacentral:rRNA from 1 species